rnacentral:rRNA from 1 species
UACGUAGGGGGCUAGCGUUGUCCGGAAUCAUUGGGCGUAAAGCGCGUGUAGGCGGUUCGGUAAGUCCGCUGUGAAAGUCGGGGGCUCAACCCUCGGAUGCCGGUGGAUACUGUCGGACUAGAGUACGGAAGAGGCGAGUGGAAUUCCUGGUGUAGCGGUGAAAUGCGCAGAUAUCAGGAGGAACACCGAUUGCGAAGGCAGCUCGCUGGGACGCUACUGACGCUGAGACGCGAAAGCGUGGGGAGCAAACAGG